rnacentral:antisense_RNA from 1 species
CUUCACCGAGCCGAGCCACAGGGGCCGGCCGGGGGUGCGUUCCUUGCCGUAGGUGGCGAUGAGGGCCUGGGCCUC